rnacentral:rRNA from 1 species
GACGAACGCUGGCGGCGUGCUUAACACAUGCAAGUCGAGCGGUAAGGCCCUUUCGGGGGGUACACGAGCGGCGAACGGGUGAGUAACACGUGGGUGACCUGCCCUUAGCUCUGGGAUAAGCCUGGGAAACUGGGUCUAAUACCGGAUAUGACUCCAUAACGCAUGUUGUGGGGUGGAAAGCCUUGUGCGGCUAGGGAUGGGCCCGCGGCCUAUCAGCUUGUUGGUGGGGUGAUGGCCACCAAGGCGACGACGGGUAGCCGGCCUGAGAGGGCGACCGGCCACACUGGGACUGAGACACGGCCCAGACUCCUACGGGAGGCAGCAGGUGGGGAAUCUUGCGCAA